AGUGAACGCUGGCGGUAGGCCUAACACAUGCAAGUCGAACGGCAGCACAGUAAGAGCUUGCUCUUACGGGUGGCGAGUGGCGGACGGGUGAGGAAUACAUCGGAAUCUACUUUUUCGUGGGGGAUAACGUAGGGAAACUUACGCUAAUACCGCAUACGACCUACGGGUGAAAGCAGGGGAUCUUCGGACCUUGCGCGAUUGAAUGAGCCGAUGUCGGAUUAGCUAGUUGGCGGGGUAAAGGCCCACCAAGGCGACGAUCCGUAGCUGGUCUGAGAGGAUGAUCAGCCACACUGGAACUGAGGCACGGUCCAGACUCCUACGGGAGGCAGCAGUGGGGAAUAUUGGAUAAUGGGCGCAAGCCUGAUCCAGCCAUACCGCGUGGGUGAAGAAGGCCUUCGGGUUGUAAAGCCCUUUUGUUGGGAAAGAAAAGCAGCAGGUUAAUACCCCGCUGUUCUGACGGUACCCAAAGAAUAAGCACCGGCUAACUUCGUG
rnacentral:rRNA from 1 species